rnacentral:rRNA from 1 species
GUGCCAGCAGCCGCGGUAAUACGAAGGGUGCAAGCGUUAAUCGGAAUUACUGGGCGUAAAGCGCGCGUAGGUGGUUCGGCAAGUUGGAUGUGAAAGCCCCGGGCUCAACCUGGGAACCGCAUCCAAAACUACCUGGGCUAGAGUACGGUAGAGGGUGGUGGAAUUUCCUGUGUAGCGGUGAAAUGCGUAGAUAUAGGAAGGAACACCAGUGGCGAAGGCGACCACCUGGACCGAUACUGACACUGAGGUGCGAAAGCGUGCCCAGCAAACAGGAUUAGAUACCCUGGUAGUCC